GACGAACCGUGCGAACGUUGUUCGGAAUCACUGGGCUUAAAGGGCGCGUAGGUGGUUUGCCAAGUCGGGGUUGAAAUCUUUCGGCUUAACCGGAAAAGUGGCUUCGAUACUGGCAAGCUGGAGGGAGGUAGGGGCGGAUGGAACUUCCGGUGGAGCGGUGAAAUGUGUUGAUAUCGGAAGGAACGCCGGUGGCGAAAGCGAUCCGCUGGACCUCUUCUGACACUGAGGCGCGAAAGCCAGGGGAGCGAACCGG
rnacentral:rRNA from 1 species